CCUGGCCUAACUUCUCUGCCUCCUUCCCAGGCUGUCCCAAAAGAUGAUGGCCUCCCUGGCCUAACUUCUCUGCCUCCUUCCCAGGCUGCCCCAAAAGAUGAUGGCCUCCCUGGCCUAACUUCUCUGCCUCCUUCCCAGCCUGCCCAAAGGCGUGGUGAGCCCCCUGGCCUAACUUCUCUGCCUCCUUCCCAGCCUG